GAUCCUGGCUCAGGGCGAACGCUGGCGGCGUGCUUAACACAUGCAAGUCGAACGAGAGGACAAGAGAAGCUUGCUUCUUUUGGAAUCGAGUGGCAAACGGGUGAGUAACACGUAAACAACCUGCCUUCAGGAUGGGGACAACAGACGGAAACGACUGCUAAUACCGAAUACGCUUGGGAGACCGCAUGAUCUUCCAAGGAAAGGUGGCGUCUACCUGUAGACUAUCGCCUCGAAGAAGGGGUUUGGUCGU
rnacentral:rRNA from 1 species